rnacentral:lncRNA from 1 species
AGGGGCGGGCUCCUUUGUUGACUUAAGAGUUCACCAGGCAAGAUGGAACAAUUAUCUUGUUGCCUCUUCUUAACUGCCUAUUGUUGACUUACUUGUGGUAUGCUUCCAUUGUACAAAAUUAUAUCCAAAAUUGAAGAAUAAAUCGUAAGUUAAAAAGGAUACAUGUACUAGCCCAGGAAGAUCCCUGCAUCUUGAACAGUAAUGCUGAAUCGGAAACUAUGUCGUUACCCAUAAGUAGAAUCCUCCUGACUUUCACUUAAAUAUCAGGACCCAAAUUAUUUUAUGUCUCACUUCAGAACAUAGCACAAUGUGCUAUUUUAUCUUCUUGGCCCAGUCUUUAGAUUUAUUCUAUACUCUCCGUGUUACAAGCUGCACAAACCAUUGGUGACAAUGAGAACCACUCUAUAUAGUUUCACUGACUUUGGAUUCUCA